rnacentral:rRNA from 1 species
GAUGAACGCUGGCGGCGUGCCUAAUACAUGCAAGUCGAGCGAACAGACGAGGAGCUUGCUCCUCUGACGUUAGCGGCGGACGGGUGAGUAACACGUGGAUCACCUACCUAUAAGACUGGGAUAACUUCGGGAAACCGGAGCUAAUACCGGAUAAUAUAUUGAACCGCAUGGUUCAAUAGUGAAAGACGGUUUUGCUGUCACUUAUAGCUGGAUCCGCGCCGCAUUAGCUAGUUGGUAAGGUAACGGCUUACCAAGGCAACGAUGCGUAGCCGACCUGAGAGGGUGAUCGGCCACACUGGAACUGAGACACGGUCCAGACUCCUACGGGAGGCAGCAGUAGGGAAUCUUCCGCAAUGGGCGAAAGCUUGACGGAGCAACGCCGCGUGAGUGAUGAAGGUCUUCGGAUCGUAAAACUCUGUUAUUAGGGAAGAACAAAUGUGUAAGUAACUAUGCACGUCUUGACGGUACCUAAUCAGAAAGCCACGGCUAACUACGUG